rnacentral:rRNA from 1 species
GACGAACGCUGGCGGCGUGCUUAACACAUGCAAGUCGAACGGAAAGGCCCUGCUUUUGUGGGGUGCUCGAGUGGCGAACGGGUGAGUAACACGUGAGUAACCUGCCCUUGACUUUGGGAUAACUUCAGGAAACUGGGGCUAAUACCGGAUAGGAGCCCCUGCUGCAUGGUGGGGGUUGGAAAGUUUCGGCGGUUGGGGAUGGACUCGCGGCUUAUCAGCUUGUUGGUGGGGUAGUGGCUUACCAAGGCUUUGACGGGUAGCCGGCCUGAGAGGGUGACCGGCCACAUUGGGACUGAGAUACGGCCCAGACUGCUACGGGAGGCAGCAGUGGGGAAUAUUGCACAAUGGGCGGAAGCCUGAUGCAGCAACGCCGCGUGCGGGAUGACGGCCUUCGGGUUGUAAACCGCUUUCGCCUGUGACGAAGCGUGAGUGACGGUAAUGGGUAAAGAAGCACCGGCUAACUACGUG